UACGAAGGGGGCUAGCGUUGCUCGGAAUUACUGGGCGUAAAGGGCGCGUAGGCGGACAGUUAAGUCAGAGGUGAAAGCCCAGGGCUCAACCCCUGGAAUUGCCUUUGAUACUGGCUGUCUUGAGUAUGGGAGAGGUGAGUGGAACUCCGAGUGUAGAGGUGAAAUUCGUAGAUAUUCGGAAGAACACCAGUGGCGAAGGCGACUCACUGGCCCAUUACUGACGCUGAGGCGCGAAAGCGUGGGGAGCAAACAGG
rnacentral:rRNA from 1 species